rnacentral:sRNA from 21 species
CGAGAUAUAAGCAUUUUUUAUCAAUUAUAAAAGUACCAUUUUUUACCACAUUGCCUAAAAAUAAAACACCCCAAACCAUCGUUUGGGGUGUUUUUAUUAAUCUA